rnacentral:rRNA from 1 species
CCUACGGGAGGCAGCAGUAGGGAAUCUUCCACAAUGGGCGAAAGCCUGAUGGAGCAACGCCGCGUGAGUGAAGAAGGUUUUCGGAUCGUAAAACUCUGUUGUUAGGGAAGAACAAGUAUCGUUCGAAUAGGGCGGUACCUUGACGGUACCUAACCAGAAAGCCACGGCUAACUACGUGCCAGCAGCCGCGGUAAU